rnacentral:rRNA from 1 species
GCGACGAACCGGGGCUUGCCCCGGGGCAGAGCCGCGAACGGGUGAGUAACACGUGGGUUACCUGCCCCAAUGACCGGGACAACCCGAGGAAACUCGGGCUAAUACCGGAUGUGGUCUUCGGACGAAAGGAAGCUUCGGCCUCCGCAUUGGGAUGGGCCCGCGGCGCAUUAGCUUGUUGGUGGGGUAACGGCCUACCAAGGCGACGAUGCGUAGCUGGUCUGAGAGGACGAUCAGCCACACUGGGACUGAGACACGGCCCAGACUCCUACGGGAGGCAGCAGUGGGGAAUCUUGCGCAAUGCGCGAAAGCGUGACGCAGCAACGCCGCGUGGGGGAAGAAGGCCUUCGGGUUGUAAACCUCUUUCAGUUGGGACGAAGCUUCGCGGGUUAAUAGCCUGCCGGAGUGACGGUACCUUCAGAAGAAGCCCCGGCUAACUACGUGCCAGCAGCCGCGGUAAUACGUAGGGGGCAAGCGUUGUCCGGAAUCAUUGGGCGUAAAGAGCGUGUAGGCGGCCCGAUAAGUCCGCUGUGAAAGUCCAGGGCUCAACCCUGGAAUGCCGGUGGAUACUGUCGGGCUCGAAUCCGGAAGAGGUGAGUGGAAUUCCUGGUGUAGCGGUGAAAUGCGCAGAUAUCAGGAGGAACAUCCAUGGCGAAGGCAGCUACCUGGACCAACACUGACACUGAGGCACGAAAACGUGGGGAGCAAACAGG